rnacentral:rRNA from 1 species
AGCAGCAGCCGCGGGAAUACAGAGGGUGCGAGCGUUAAUCGGAUUUACUGGGCGUAAAGCGUGCGUAGGCGGCUUCUUAAGUCGGAUGUGAAAUCCCUGAGCUUAACUUAGGAAUUGCAUUCGAUACUGGGAAGCUAGAUUAUGGGAGAGGAUGGUAGAAUUCCAGGUGUAGCGGUGAAAUGCGUAGAGAUCUGGAGGAAUACCGAUGGCGAAGGCAGCCAUCUGGCCUAAUACUGACGCUGAGGUACGAAAGCAUGGGGAGCAAACAGGAUUAGAUACCCCAGUAGUCCCUGUCUCUUAUAC